rnacentral:rRNA from 1 species
UUUUUUGGCCAUACCACCCUGAACGCGCCCGAUCUCGUCUGAUCUCGGAAGCUAAGCAGGGUCGGGCCUGGUUAGUACUUGGAUGGGAGACCUUAGAAAAUUUUAAGAUAACUUAUCAUA